AGUGAACGCUGGCGGUAGGCCUAACACAUGCAAGUCGAACGGCAGCACAGUAAGAGCUUGCUCUUACGGGUGGCGAGUGGCGGACGGGUGGGGAAUACAUCGGAAUCUACUUUUUCGUGGGGGAUAACGUAGGGAAACUUACGCUAAUACCGCAUACGACCUACGGGUGAAAGCAGGGGAUCUUCGGACCUUGCGCGAUUGAAUGAGCCGAUGUCGGAUUAGCUAGUUGGCGGGGUAAAGGCCCACCAAGGCGACGAUCCGUAGCUGGUCUGAGAGGAUGAUCAGCCACACUGGAACUGAGACACGGUCCAGACUCCUACGGGAGGCAGCAGUGGGGAAUAUUGGACAAUGGGCGCAAGCCUGAUCCAGCCAUACCGCGUGGGUGAAGAAGGCCUUCGGGUUGUAAAGCCCUUUUAUUGGGAAAGAAAAGCAGCAGGUUAAUACCCCGCUGUUCUGACGGUACCCAAAGAAUAAGCACCGGCUAACUUCGUG
rnacentral:rRNA from 1 species